rnacentral:rRNA from 1 species
UAGGGAAUCUUCGGCAAUGGACGGAAGUCUGACCGAGCAACGCCGCGUGAGUGAAGAAGGUUUUCGGAUCGUAAAGCUCUGUUGUAAGAGAAGAACGAGUGUGAGAGUGGAAAGUUCACACUGUGACGGUAUCUUACCAGAAAGGGACGGCUAACUACGUGCCAGCAGCCGCGGUAAUACGUAGGUCCCGAGCGUUGUCCAGAUUUAUUGGGCGUAAAGCGAGCGCAGGCGGUUAGAUAAGUCUGAAGUUAAAGGCUGUGGCUUAACCAUAGUAGGCUUUGGAAACUGUUUAACUUGAGUGCAAGAGGGGAGAGUGGAAUUCCAUGUGUAGCGGUGAAAUGCGUAGAUAUAUGGAGGAACACCGGUGGCGAAAGCGGCUCUCUGGCUUGUAACUGACGCUGAGGCUCGAAAGCGUGGGGAGCAAACAGGAUUAGAUACCCUGGUAGUCCACGCCGUAACGAUGAGUGCUAGGUGUUAGGCCCUUUCCGGGGCUUAGUGCCGCAGCUAACGCAUUAAGCACUCCGCCUGGGGAGUACGACCGCAAGGUU